GGGGUUGUGGCUUACUGGUGGAGUGCUCACCUAGCAUGUGUGAGGCACUGGGUUCGAUCCUCAGCACCACA
rnacentral:tRNA from 1 species